CACAGCGCGUGGCGCCCGCCGGCAGGCGCGACCGACAGUGGUAACAAAAAGUGCCCGCGCACCGUGGAUUCUGUGUGCAGGCAAUGGCCAGGUGGCCGCGCACGGCCUGCGCCACGCGGUCGUGCUCGACGAUGCAUUCGGCGCCACACGGGAUGACCUCGACGCGUGGGCCGCGGCGACGGCCCGCAGGCACAGGACGGUCGACGACGGUGUGGAGCGGGCAGGGGAUCACCUCCAUACCGGGGAAGCGAUGGCGGUCAUAGAGGCCCGCCAGGUUCAAUGCCUCAUCACCGUCGAGCACAAGGGCAAAGGGGUGUGCCUCGGGAUAGGCCGUGGCUGCGCACCGCGACUCGCCGUCCAGCGACACACACCCGACUGCCGCGCGCGCGACGCUCACCGGCGGGCGACCGCGGUUGAGCAACACGGUGCGCAUGCAACCGACGCACACGGCGUGAUCCGUGUUCCGGCACGGAUUGACCAGGAUGACAUCGUCUGCCAGACGUGCGCCAUUGGCCACAAGCACGUGUCGGUCGGGGUCGGUCCAAAGAUCGUGCAGCGUGGCCGGCCGCGCCUGUGGCACGUCCCACAAGACUGUUCCGUCGUCGCGCAUGCAGAUGCUGCACUCGAUGCCGGCCGCCUCGACGCACGGGCGCAGGACAAUAUCACACACGGCCUCUGGAACCGCGUGCGUCGCAUCGCUCGAUCUGUCCAACGACAAGACUGGCGACAUUGUUCUUAUAGGCUCUGACGAUGUGGACGUGUUGGUUGCCAGAGACUUGCGCAUGCGCUUGGCCGGUCGCGGUCGCGCUGCCGGCGCGGUCGGCGCGGUCGUCGUCGUUGUUGGCGCUUCCGGCCUCGACCGCUUGGCGGUCCGCCGCCGCCGUUGUGGUGCCAUCCUCGCCUCGGCAGAACCGUCCUCGACCGCCAGAGGCGAGCGCUGCGUCGACACUGGUCCUUGCUGGUCUCUUGUAGUCAGUGUCGAGGUGCGCGUAAUGAUCACGAGACCGUCGUCAUCGUCCAUCGUGGUAUCCAAGGUUUCAACAGACGAGGGUUGCGUAUCCUCGUGAUGAUCACCAUCGUUGUCAUGAUCACCAUCAUUGCCGCCAUCGUCGUCGCUCAUGUGCCCGGUGCGGUCGCGCGCAGCCUCGGAUGCCACGCGAGAUACGAUGCGGUCGAGGCGGCGCAUCAUAUGCUCCAUGUCGCUCCGUGCCCGCUCUGCCGAGCGCUGUGGCCGCAGAGGCAGAGGUGGGCGCCGCGCAAGCGCCUGACCGACCCAAGAGGCGCUUCGGGCCACGCACAGGGCGCCUCUGCCUGCACGACCCUGGUCGACAACCGAGUCCAAGAGAGUCGUCAGCGGCACGGUGGCGACAACGAAAUUGUCGUCACCCUCGGUCUUGGUGAGGUUCACGCGUGCGUCCAACAGUGUGCGUGCUGCGGGCGCGCGCCUGGGCGACGUGCGCCGUCGAUCGGCGCCUGGCACGAGAACGCUCAUGGCUGUGGCGACAGAGUCAAAGUCUGUGUGGAUGUCCUCACCUAGAUGAAUCACAGGCCGUGCAGGCGGCCCCUGCACCCAUAAGGCGUCACCCACUGUCGGAUCGGAUCGCAACAUGAGCGUAAUCGGGUAGGCGCAACGCAUGCGCGCCACGGCGAUGGCAUCCGUCUGUUGUGGUGGCGCCGCUGCCGACACCGAUGUCGUGUGCGCGCUAGAGGUUGCAUUGGAUUUGGGCGGUGCGCGCCUCGGUUGCGCAGGCAUGACAUCUGCUCGACGACCAUCGACAACGUCCAUCCGCGAAAGCGCUGCAGUCGCCAUGUAUCUGAUGUGUGCCGCCCCAACAAACUAGGUUGACGGGACAAUGUGGUCGACGGCUAUUUUUUUUAGUCGCUUGCGGGUGGAAUCGCAGACAAGGGGCAGGCCGUAGGUCGUCGCCGAGGCGGUUGUCUUUGUCCUCUGCCGCCGCCGUCGGGUCUCGCCACCCGACGGCAGAGCCCAAAGCGCGACACUCCUUGCGGUGCCAUUGCCCUCGCGGCAAAAGAGACUCGCGUUGCGCCGCCGGCGCGUGCCCCCUCUGCCCGCCCGACAGAUGGACUGGCCCUUUGCCCGUUACCUUUUUUUUGGAACCAUUUCCAUUCUUUUUUUUUUUCGUGUACAUCCCAAGCCAUCCUUUUUUUAAAAAAAACAAAGAAAGAAACAAUCAAGGCGGCAGGGUGGCCGGUUGCGCG
rnacentral:lncRNA from 1 species